rnacentral:rRNA from 1 species
AACAUAUCAAUAAGCGGAGGAAAAGAAACUAACAAGGAUUCCCCUAGUAACUGCGAGUGAAGCGGGAAAAGCUCAAAUUUAAAAUCUGGUGGUCUUUGGCCAUCCGAGUUGUAAUUUAGAGAAGCGUCUUCCGCGCUGGACCGUGCACAAGUCUCCUGGAAUGGAGCGUCACAGAGGGUGAGAAUCCCGUCUUUGGCACGGACACACCAGGGCUUUUGUGAUGCGCUCUCGAAGAGUCGAGUUGUUUGGGAAUGCAGCUCAAAAUGGGUGGUGAACUCCAUCUAAAGCUAAAUAUUGGCGAGAGACCGAUAGCGAACAAGUACCGUGAGGGAAAGAUGAAAAGCACUUUGGAAAGAGAGUGAAACAGUACGUGAAAUUGUUGAAAGGGAAACGCUUGAAGUCAGUCGCGUCGACCGAGACUCAGCCUUGCCUUGGCUCGGUGUACUUCUCGGCCGACGGGUCAGCAUCAAUUUUGCCCCUUGGAUAAUGGCGAGGGAAAUGUGACACCUUUAUGGUGUGUUAUAGUCUCUCGUCGCAUGCAAGGGUUGGGAUUGAGGAACUCAGCACGCGCCUUUGGGUGUCGGGGCUUUGCCCACGAUACGUGCUUAGGAUGUUGGCGUAAUGGCUUUAAACGACCCGUCUUGAAACACGGACCAAGGAGUCUAACAUGCCUGCGAGUGUUCGGGUGGAAAACCCGUGCGCGCAAUGAAAGUGAAAGUCGGGACCUCUGUCGUGGAGGGCACCGACGCCCGGACCAGACCUUCUGUGACGGCUCUGCGGUAGAGCAUGCAUGUUAGGACCCGAAAGAUGGUGAACUAUGCCUGAAUAGGGUGAAGCCAGAGGAAACUCUGGUGGAGGCUCGUAGCGAUUCUGACGUGCAAAUCGAUCGUCAAAUUUGGGUAUAGGGGCGAAAGACUAAUCGAACCAUCUAGUAGCUGGUUCCUGCCGA